CCUACGGGGGGCAGCAGUGAGGAAUAUUGGUCAAUGGGCGGAAGCCUGAACCAGCCAAGUCGCGUGAAGGACGAAGGCCCCACGCAUUGUAAACUUCUUUUGUCAAGGGACAAAGUCAGGCACGUGUGCCUGACCGAGGGUACUUUAAGAAAAAGGAUCGGCUAACUCCGUGCCAGCAGCCGCGGUAAUACGGAGGAUUCGAGCGUUAUCCGGAUUUAUUGGGGUUAAAGGGAUCGUAGGGGGGCCGUUAAAGCAGGGGGGAAAGUUUGGGGCCUAAACCCAGGCGGGCCGUUGAAACUGGCAGUCUUGAGUUGACGAGAGGUAGGCGGAAUGCGUGGUGUAGCGGUGAAAUGCUUAGAUAUCGCGCAGAACUCCGAUUGCGAAGGCAGCCUACCAGCGCCCCACUGACACUGAGGCACGAAAGUGUGGGUAUCGAACAGGAUUAGAUACCCCGGUAGUC
rnacentral:rRNA from 1 species